rnacentral:rRNA from 1 species
GUGAAACCCCCGGGCUCAACCUGGAGUCGGCAUCGGAUACUGCCAUGGCUAGAGUCCGGAAGGGGCCCAGGGAAUUCCUGGUGUACCGGUGAAAUGCCCAAAUAUCAGGAGGAACACCGGUGGCGAAGGCGGUGGCCUGGGCCGGCACUGACCCUAAGGACCGAAACCGUGGGGACCGAACAGGAUUAAAUACCCUGGUAUUCCACCCCGUAAACGUUGGGCACUAGGUGUGGGACCUUAUCAACGGUUUCCGUGCCGUAUCUAACGCUUUAAGUGCCCCCCCGGGGGAGUACGGCCGCAGGGCUAAAA